UUUGGUAGCUCAGUCAGUAUAGCAUGAGACUCUUAAUCUCAGGGUUGUGUGUUUGAGCCUCACACUGAGCAAAA